rnacentral:pre_miRNA from 1 species
AGUGGGAUAGUUGGGUCAAAAGGUAGCUCCAUUCCAAGUUUUUGAAGGAAUCUUCAUAUUGCUUUACAUAGUGGCUGUACCAAUUUGCAGUCCUACCAGCAAU